rnacentral:lncRNA from 1 species
CUAGAAUUCCAUUCCUCAGCGUGGAAGAGCUGUACCCUCAUCCUUAAAGUCCCCGUCUUGAGCUCACAUCCCGCUCCCAGAACUCUCUCCAAGUCACAACUACAGUACUACAUAGGGGCGAAGGGCUUUGGACGGCACCUAGAGAAUACAAACCACUCUCAUGAGGACAGAGGACGUUGAAGUGAGGGAGAGAGGUGUAUAGAGCCCAGCCUCUGCCUGAAGGAGCUUCCAGACUGGUGGUUUCAUUGAAGCAAAAGGAUCUGGCACUGAACCCCAUGACAGAAUUGUCAAAGAGAACAAGAUCAGCGAGGUUACAGGGGCAACCUCAGAGAGCUCCUUCCUCCCUUCCACCAUGACAGGACUCAGAGAGAAGGCACCAUCUAUGGACCAGGAAAGAGCUUCUCACCAAACACUAAGUCUGCACUUGCAACCUCCAGCACUGUAAAAAAUAAAUUUCUAUUGUUUAGAAGACACCAGUUUAUGAUGUUUUGGUGUAGUAGCC